rnacentral:sRNA from 1 species
GGGGUCGUAUAGGUGAAACAACUCACUCAAUAUCACAAGCUGUUAUGUGGUGAAGUUUGCAUGAUCAGUACAGGGUUCUGGUCGUCCCACUCAUUGAGUGGUGCUGGUCAAGAUCUGGAAGCUCUUCUGGUCUUAGUUUCUCUAGCUGUGAAGUGACAAUGAUUAGGUCUAAUCAUAGAACAUGAGAGUACAUGUGAAAAAAAUGCCUUUUUAAAGAGUAUGAAAAACUUGAGUUGUAAAAUUUUCUUGUGGAUAAUUUAUUAUUGCUUUUCUUUUUUAGAUAACACUAACAAAGUUGACCUUAGAAUUGGAGUGCCCGGGUUAGAACCUUGCUGGUACCACCUGCUUACUGCAUGCUUCUGAUGUGAGUUCAGGAGAAGCCACUGGCAAGGACAGCAAAGAACAGGAGAACACUCUAGCUUCCCUGAUAGCAUUCAAGGUGCUGUCCAAAGCUCUUGAGUUUCUGCUUUCAAGUGACCCUCAGAAAUGCCCCCAUUCACUGCAGAGGUUCUGUUUCUCCUUGUUUUGUUCCGACUUUAUGGCAGAACUAGGUUAAUGAGUUAAUUACUAUGAGUUAUCACUUGGAUUUGAAGAACCAUCAUUUCUAGGCUUUGCUGCUCAGAGUGGGUUUGCCCUCAGGGGAAGCUAUCUAACCAGAGCCUAACCCACUAGGGUUUUAUCAGAACCUAACUGGCCUGAGGAAAAGAAAUAUUCAACUCCAGCAAGCUCCAGCCUUCCAAACGGAGGAGGAGAAAACCCAAAUCCAGCCCACUUCAGCUAUCUUGUCCCACAUAAAGGGGGAGUGGAAGAAACGUGAGAAGCAGGCAUGAAGUUCACAGUCCGGAGGUACAGACACAUCAGAGUUCAGUAUCUGAUGAAUUAGAUGCAAAAUCCUCAACAAAGUAUUAGCAAAUUGAAUUCAACAAUGUAUGAAAAUUAUUACAUGCCAUGACUAAUUGGAAUUUAUCUCAGGUAUACAAGCCAUGCUGAACAUCUGAAAAUCAAUUCAUGUGAUCCAUCACAUUAGCAGAUUCAAGAAAAAAAAAACCACAUUAUCAUAUCAGUAGAUGUAGAAAAAAAAAAUUAACAAAAUCCAGCACGCAUUCACAAUGAAAAUGCUCAGUAAAUUAGAAAUAGAAGGUAACUUCCUCAACUUGACAAGGAAUAUCUCUAAAAACCUACAACUAAAAUCAUACUUAAUGGUAAAAAACUAGAAGCCUUCCCAGUAAGAGUAAGAACAAGGCAAAGAUGUAUGCUCUCACCACUCCUUUUCAACAUCAUAUUGGAAGUCCUAGCUAGUGCAAUAAGCAAAAAAAAAAAAAAAAGUUAUAUUAAUAAGAAAAAAAACCGUGUUUGUUUGCAGAUGACAUGAUUGUCUAUGCAAAAAA